rnacentral:rRNA from 1 species
AGAGUUUGAUCCUGGCUCAAGACGAACGCUGGCGGCGUGCCUAAUACAUGCAAGUCGAGCGAGCUUGCCUAGAUGAUUUUAGUGCUUGCCCUAAAUGAAACUAGAUACAAGCGAGCGGCGGACGGGUGAGUAACACGUGGGUAACCUGCCCAAGAGACUGGGAUAACACCUGGAAACAGAUGCUAAUACCGGAUAACAACACUAGACGCAUGUCUAGAGUUUGAAAGAUGGUUCUGCUAUCACUCUUGGAUGGACCUGCGGUGCAUUAGCUAGUUGGUAAGGUAACGGCUUACCAAGGCAUGAUGCAUAGCCGAGUUGAGAGACUGAUCGGCCACAUUGGGACUGAGACACGGCCCAAACUCCUACGGGAGGCAGCAGUAGGGAAUCUUCCACAAUGGACGAAAGUCUGAUGGAGCAACGCCGCGUGAGUGAAGAAGGGUUUCGGCUCGUAAAGCUCUGUUGGUAGUGAAGAAAGAUAGAGGUAGUAACUGGCCUUUAUUUGACGGUAAUUACUUAGAAAGUCACGGCUAACUACGUGCCAGCAGCCGCGGUAAUACGUAGGUGGCAAGCGUUGUCCGGAUUUAUUGGGCGUAAAGCGAGUGCAGGCGGUUCAAUAAGUCUGAUGUGAAAGCCUUCGGCUCAACCGGAGAAUUGCAUCAGAAACUGUUGAACUUGAGUGCAGAAGAGGAGAGUGGAACUCCAUGUGUAGCGGUGGAAUGCGUAGAUAUAUGGAAGAACACCAGUGGCGAAGGCGGCUCUCUGGUCUGCAACUGACGCUGAGGCUCGAAAGCAUGGGUAGCGAACAGGAUUAGAUACCCUGGUAGUCCAUGCCGUAAACGAUGAGUGCUAAGUGUUGGAGGGUUUCCGCCCUUCAGUGCCGGAGCUAACGCAUUAAGCACUCCGCCUGGGGAGUACGACCGCAAGGUUGAAACUCAAAGGAAUUGACGGGGGCCCGCACAAGCGGUGGAGCAUGUGGUUUAAUUCGAAGCAACGCGAAGAACCUUACCAGGUCUUGACAUCCUCCUGAAUGAAGGGUAAUGCCUUCAGGCCUUCGGGACAGGAGAGACAGGUGGUGCAUGGUUGUCGUCAGCUCGUGUCGUGAGAUGUUGGGUUAAGUCCCGCAACGAGCGCAACCCCUAUCCUUAGUAGCCAGCAGGUAGAGCUGGGCACUCAAGGGAGACUGCCGGGGAUAACCCGGAGGAAGGUGGGGAUGACGUCAAAUCAUCAUGCCCCUUAUGAUCUGGGCUACACACGUGCUACAGUGGCGUAAACAAAGGGAAGCGAGACGGCGACGUUAAGCAAAUCCCAGAAAUAACGUCCCAGUUCGGAUUGUAGUCUGCAACCCGGCUACAUGAAGCUGGAAUCGCUAGUAAUCGCGGAUCAGAAUGCCGCGGUGAAUACGUAGGCGGGUCUUGCACACACCGCCCGUCA